rnacentral:rRNA from 1 species
CAUGCAGGCGGUUACAUAAGUCAGAUGUGAAAUCCCCGCGCUUAACGUGGGCAUUGCAUUUGAAACUAUGUAGCUAGAGUUCUGUAGAGGGGGGUAGAAUUCCAGGUGUAGCGGUGAAAUGCGUAGAGAUCUGGAGGAAUACCGAUUGCGAAGGCGACUUUCUGGACUGUAACUGACGCUGAGGCGCGAAAGCGUGGGGAGCAAACAGGAUUAGAUACCCUUGUA